UAAAUGUGAAAUUAUGAAUUAUGAUUUCAGGGUUUCUUCUGGCAGAGGAGCACACAACAUGUAUCUUGUGUUCAGGUCAACACAAAAUAUAUUAAUAUAAUCAACAGCAUUAGUAGAGAUGGUAAUACUAGGAGGGAUCUUCUGGUAAUGGUAGUAUGCCAUUGUUCUGAUGUAAUGUGAUGCUGAGAAAUGUAGGACCAGACCUUUCAAUCAUUUAACGAAGACCAAGAGACAAAUGAGAUAGAAAGAAAAAUGGGAUGGAUACAUGACUGGGUCUUUUUCUCUAGCCACAGUGGAUGGAUUUGCUUUUCAGACCUUUAGCGAAGUUUGGCUGAUGAUUAAAAGAGUCCACACUUUGAUAUGUGCCACCUUUAUUUUAUAUAGCUAUACCAUGCCCGUGUAAGUUGGGGGGAAAACUGUAAAAUUCACCCAUAAC
rnacentral:lncRNA from 1 species